AUCCAGCUGCCAAGUCUCAAAUAUGACGAAACGUACGUCCUGGAU
rfam:Schistosoma curassoni strain Dakar, Senegal genome assembly, scaffold: SCTD_scaffold0014072